rnacentral:piRNA from 1 species
UGCCUGAACUCUGCACCAAGGACCUGAGC